UUGGAGGGCAAGUCUGGUGCCAGCAGCCGCGGUAAUUCCAGCUCCAAUAGCGUAUAUUAAAGUUGUUGCAGUUAAAAAGCUCGUAGUUGAAUUUCGGGAUCAGAUUGUCGGUCGUGCCUCGGUACGCACUGGCAUUAUUGGUUCCUACCUUCUGAAGAACCGCGAUGUCAUUAAUUUGGUGUCGUGGGGAAUCAGGACUGUUACUUUGAAAAAAUUAGAGUGUUUAAAGCAGGCGCACGCUUGAAUACAUUAGCAUGGAAUAAUGAAAUAGGACGUUUGAUUCUAUUUUGUUGGUUUCUAGGAUCGACGUAAUGAUUAAUAGGGAUAGUUGGGGGCAUUAGUAUUCAAUUGUCAGAGGUGAAAUUCUUGGAUUUAUUGAAGACUAACUACUGCGAAAGCAUUUGCCAAGGAUGUUUUCAUUAAUCAAGAACGAAAGUUAGGGGAUCGAAGACGAUCAGAUACCGUCGUAGUCUUAACCAUAAACUAUGCCGACUAGGGAUCGGAUGAUGUUAAUUUUUUAAUGACUCAUUCGGCGCCUUACGGGAAACCAAAGUGUUUGGGUUC
rnacentral:rRNA from 1 species